AGUGAACGCUGGCGGUAGGCCUAACACAUGCAAGUCGAACGGCAGCACAGUAAGAGCUUGCUCUUACGGGUGGCGAGUGGCGGACGGGUGAGGAAUACAUCGGAAUCUACUUUUUCGUGGGGGAUAACGUAGGGAAACUUACGCUAAUACCGCAUACGACCUACGGGUGAAAGCAGGGGAUCUUCGGACCUUGCGCGAUUGAAUGAGCCGAUGUCGGAUUAGCUAGUUGGCGGGGUAAAGGCCCACCAAGGCGACGAUCCGUAGCUGGUCUGAGAGGAUGGUCAGCCAAACUGGAAAUGAGAAACGGUCCAGACUCCUAAGGGAGGCAGGCGUGGGGAAUAUUGGAACAUGGGCGCAAGCCUGAUCCAGCCAUACCGCGUGGGUGAAGAAGGCCUUCGGGUUGUAAAGCCCUUUUGUUGGGAAAGAAAAGCAGCAGGUUAAUACCCCGCUGUUCUGACGGUACCCAAAGAAUAAGCAACGGCUAACUUCGUG
rnacentral:rRNA from 1 species